UACGUAGGGGGCAAGCGUUAUCCGGAUUUACUGGGUGUAAAGGGAGCGUAGACGGCAGUGCAAGUCCGGAGUGAAAGCCCGGGGCCCAACCCUGGGACUGCUCUGGAAACUGUAAAGCUGGAGUGCGGGAGGGGCAGGCGGAAUUCCUGGUGUAGCGGUGAAAUGCGUAGAUAUCAGGAGGAACACCGGCGGCGAAGGCGGCCUGCUGGACCGUAACUGACGUUGAGGCUCGAAAGCGUGGGGAGCAAACAGG
rnacentral:rRNA from 1 species